rnacentral:rRNA from 1 species
AUUGAACGCAGGCGGCAUGCCUAACACAUGCAAGUCGAGCGAGGUGUAGCAAUACAUCUAGCGGCGGACGGGUGAGGAACACGUAGGAAUUUGCCUUAGAGCGGGGGAUAGCCCAGGGGAACUUGGAGUAAUACCGCAUGAUGUCGAAAGACCAAAGCAGGGGACCGCAAGGCCUUGCACUCUGAGAGAAGCCUACGUCUGAUUAGCUAGUUGGUGAGGUAAUGGCUCACCAAGGCGACGAUCAGUAACUGGUCUGAGAGGACGAUCAGUCACACUGGAACUGAGACACGGUCCAGACUCCUACGGGAGGCAGCAGUGGGGAAUAUUGGACAAUGGGCGCAAGCCUGAUCCAGCAAUGCCGCGUGUGUGAAGAAGGCCUUCGGGUUGUAAAGCACUUUAAGCAGGGAAGAAAAAACUCGAAUUAAUUCUUUGAGUCUUGACGGUACCUGAAGAAUAAGCACCGGCUAACUCUGUGCCAGCAGCCGCAGUAA